rnacentral:rRNA from 1 species
AGAGUUUGAUCCUGGCUCAGGACGAACGCUGGCGGCACGCUUAACACAUGCAAGUCGAACGAGAGAAGAGGAGCUUGCUUUUCUGAUCUAGUGGCGGACGGGUGAGUAACACGUGAGCAAUCUGCCUUUCAGAGGGGGAUACCGAUUGGAAACGAUCGUUAAUACCGCAUAACAUAAUUGAACCGCAUGAUUUGAUUAUCAAAGAUUUAUCGCUGAAAGAUGAGCUCGCGUCUGAUUAGCUAGUUGGUAAGGUAACGGCUUACCAAGGCGACGAUCAGUAGCCGGACUGAGAGGUUGAUCGGCCACAUUGGGACUGAGACACGGCCCAGACUCCUACGGGAGGCAGCAGUGGGGAAUAUUGCACAAUGGAGGAAACUCUGAUGCAGCGAUGCCGCGUGAGGGAAGAAGGUUUUAGGAUUGUAAACCUCUGUCUUCAGGGACGAAAAAAGACGGUACCUGAGGAGGAAGCUCCGGCUAACUACGUGCCAGCAGCCGCAGUAAUACGUAGGGAGCGAGCGUUGUCCGGAAUUACUGGGUGUAAAGGGAGCGUAGGCGGGAUCGCAAGUCAGAUGUGAAAACUAUGGGCUUAACCCAUAAACUGCAUUUGAAACUGUGGUUCUUGAGUGAAGUAGAGGUAAGCGGAAUUCCUAGUGUAGCGGUGAAAUGCGUAGAUAUUAGGAGGAACAUCAGUGGCGAAGGCGGCUUACUGGGCUUUAACUGACGCUGAGGCUCGAAAGCGUGGGGAGCAAACAGGAUUAGAUACCCUGGUAGUCCACGCCGUAAACGAUGAUUACUAGGUGUGGGGGGACUGACCCCUUCCGUGCCGCGGCAAACGCAAUAAGUAAUCCACCUGGGGAGUACGACCGCAAGGUUGAAACUCAAAGGAAUUGACGGGGGCCCGCACAAGCAGUGGAGUAUGUGGAUUAAUUCGAAGCAACGCGAAGAACCUUACCAGGUCUUGACAUCGUAUGCAUAGCUCAGAGAUGAGUGAAAUCUCUUCGGAGACAUAUAGACAGGUGGUGCAUGGUUGUCGUCAGCUCGUGUCGUGAGAUGUUGGGUUAAGUCCCGCAACGAGCGCAACCCUUACUGUUAGUUGCUACGCAAGAGCACUCUAGCAGGACUGCCGUUGACAAAACGGAGGAAGGUGGGGAUGACGUCAAAUCAUCAUGCCCCUUAUGACCUGGGCCUCACACGUACUACAAUGGCUGUCAACAGAGGGAAGCAAAGCCGCGAGGUGGAGCGAACCCCUAAAAGCAGUCUUAGUUCGGAUUGUAGGCUGCAACCCGCCUACAUGAAGUCGGAAUUGCUAGUAAUCGCAGAUCAGCAUGCUGCGGUGAAUACGUUCCCGGGCCUUGUACACACCGCCCGUCACGCCAUGGGAGUCGGUAACACCCGAAGCCUGUAGUCUAACCGCAAGGAGGACGCAGUCGAAGGUGGGAUUGAUGACUGGGGUGAAGUCGUAACAAGGUA